GCAACUAUCUGAGGAUAGUUCAAAGAAAAGAGGUUGUUUGUGUGAAUUGUGUUUUCUGAAAAAUGAAAAUGUCUUCAUCUCGCGUGUAAGUAGGAUCUCUUCUUCUUUCCUCAGUCUGCUUCUUUUGCUAUCCCUUAAGUUUUAGAAAUAUGGGGAACCAUGUCAUGGUUAGAUUAAUUUUUAAAGAUAGUCUUAAUGGCCACCUUAGAUGCUUUGAGGGAAAUGGCUUGCCUUCUCCCUUGUGGGCAUCAUCGCAAGAAGGGCAUCUCCCAGUUUUGGAGGGUCCUUUGAGAAGAUGCCCUCCUCUGAGGGUUCAACUGCUUGCUGCACUCUCCAUGAGAGGUUUCUGAACGCAAGUUCAGCUGCCAGCUGCCCCAAAUUCAGCACAGAGAUAAGAGUAUCAAGGAAGUAAGCAGAAACCUUUUCGCGACUAUGUAUUUCCCCCCUUCUUCCUAGGUUUCAUGGUCUUCUCAGGCUGCGUGAGCAGUGGCGAUGCUGCACGCUCCGGCACUGGGGGCAGAGAGCAUGGCUGGACCGCAUCCCGGGAGCGUGACGCGCCGCCGGCAGGGGUGUGGCACAUGUCCCAGGGGACUGGCAUGCUGCCCGCAGGGGUGUGAUGUGCAUCCCCGGGGGCAUGGAGCGCUGCCCAGGUGUGUGUGGCGUGCGUCCCGGGGGCGUGGCACCCAGGGCAGUGGGGAGGUGCAUGGCACGUGUCUGGGGGGCGGCCGCGAUGGUACUCCCUCCCCGAUGGUGCCGAGGCGGUGAGCUCCCCUGCCCCCUUCCUCUGCCUUAUACCCUACCCAUCUGGCUGAGUUUAUUUAUUUAUUUAUAUUUAGUUGUAUGUGCGCAUGCAGACAAUCAUUAUUAUCCCAUAUUAAAUUGCCGCGUUGGCACUUUGCGAUAAAUAAGUGGGUUUUGGGUUGCAGUUUGGGCACUUGGCCUCUAAAAGGUUCGCCACCACUGCUCUAGAACAACAUCUGAAGCACCCCAAAAAGGGAAAUGGGCAAGUCCUUUGUGUCUGCAUGGACGUGAUUCUAGCUGCAGCAACAUAUCUUUCAAUCAAGAAUAAUUUUAAAAAUUCAGGGUGUGCGUUUGAGUGUGUGCAUCAGUUGGAGCAGUUCUAAACCUUUAAAAAUCCCACUGGAGUGCCACUCCCACUUCCCUUCUAUAGCAGUUGUGAACAAAAGUGACUUUUUGCUUUCUUUGCCAUGCAUUGUUUUUUUUUAAAGACAAUUUAUAGAGUGAUGAGAAGCUCACCUCAGUGGAAGUGAAUGUGAAGUGGUCACAAAAGACCAGAUCUAAUCUCAUUUAUACCGGCACAAAUUCCAAGUCAUUUAGUAAACUGUUAUAGAGUUGGAUGACAUAUUUGAGAUUAGAAUCUAUUCCUCAGUUGACACCGUAGAAGGGAAAAAUAAAUGAACCUGUAAGGGAUGUGUAUAAUAUUUCGACUCUGGUGCUUUGACUUGGAAUGACCUCAAAUGAGUGUCUGUGUGUGUGUGUGUGUGUGUGUGAUCCUUUCAAACUUAUUUAUUCUCAAAACAGAAGUCCUUUAAAAAUGGAGCUUGCCAUGUGAAGUUUCCAUGACCAUGGGUGACUUAUGAGAUAAAUUGCAUGGUGGUUCUUAUCUCAGGAACAUUUUUAUUCCACUGUGAUUCCUAGGAGACUUUUCAGUCUGUAAAGUGAGGUUCAAAUACUACUCUAUAUCACUGACAGAAAGGGGAUUACAUACCAGGAAGACAAAUAGCAUUUUAAUUUUUAGCAAGUUGAAAUUGAAGCUGUCAAUUUGCUGCCUUGAAAAAUUUACAGACAACUUUUUAGGAACCUGUAUUGGUUCCCCCAAAGCUUCUUUUAAAAUAGAAGUGAGAUCCCAUUAUUAUUCCUGGUGACAGUUAAUUAAAAUAUUCAAGGGAAGGUAUGAUGGCCUUUAAUAUCACAAACCUUCCAGUACUGAUAAAUGGUUUGGUUUGAAAUCUUCACUUAGUCCAUGUAACUAUAAUUUCGUGUCAUGCCAAAAAAAAUGGAUGGGAUAUGGCGCAAAAUCAAUGAAAUCAUUUGUAUUUCAUUAUUUUGACCUCUCAUAACUGCUAACUACUGAAAGAGUGUUUCAUGACCAGAUAUAUAAAAAAUUCAGAAUAGAUUAGUUUUACAGGUAAUGGCUGGCUACUCUUUCAUUACAUAGAUUUCUAGUAUUAGUCCAGGGUGGUGCUUGAUGUUUCAUCCAUCAGAGCUGAUGAUAAUAUGUUUUCAUAGCUAUCUCUUCAGUGUUUAUAGAUAUAUCCACCAAUGCGUGGACAAAAUUGGUCCCCUUCUAGCUCUCUGUUUGAGGGGGGAGAGGGAGGACAAGGAAAGAAAGUUUACAGUAUUGAACUGGCAAAACAAGAGAGUUGAUUGAACCCACCUUUCUCCGCAUACUCCAAGGUCUCAAAAACAUGCCUAAGGUCAAGCACUGGGCUCCUAAGGACUUAUUUGAUUUUUCCCCCUGAAAAACUGGGGAAGGAGUCUUGAGGCCCUUUGGGGACAAAUAAAAGGGAAAUCACUCAUCCCUAUCUUAAAACAGAUUACGUGUUACACGGCUCGUAUGAAAAGACCAUGGUUAUAUUUAUUGUUUGUAAUAGUUGCUAAAAACAAUCAAAAUUGCAAGAAAGAAAGGGAGAAAGAGAGAAAGAAAUUACCAUUCUUCUGAGCAGAUACAGUUAUAGUGGGCUAUGCAGGACCAGCCUUGCGAUUAGGUGGUGUGAAGCGGCUGCCUCAGGCUGCUGGUUUGGGGUGCCAUGAAAGGGGAGCAAAUUUAUUUGCUUAAUUUAUUACUCUUGUAUUCUACUAUCAGGGAUGGGGAAAUGUGUCUGUGGGAUAUCCUGCCUCAGGUACCAGCAUAACUCAUCUGCUCUUGGUCACUAUGCACCUUCAGUUACAGAUAAUUUUAUACUUGUUGCUGAGGUGUGUAGCGAUUUGCUGCUCCACCUCAAGCGACAAAAUGUGUUGGAGUGGCCCUGGGGUCCUGUCCUUAUGCUUCUUUUAUUAUAAUGUAACAUUACACUUAUCCCUUCCCAUUACUGGCUAAUUCAGGCAUUUUGCAGUGCGGUACAGUUCAUUUUCUCACACCUGCUAAGCCACACCACUCCUAAAACCUGAGUGUUUGUUAAAGUGGGAAGCACUAGAAUGUUAAUGGCACAGCCGUAUUCUCAAAUGAUUCCUAGAUCACUUCAUUUUAAUUCAAUGUGGGGCUUCUGAUUCACUUGUAAACAGAAGAAAAGAUUAAAAGCAAUUUUAAAGGCAUGAUAAAGCUUUAAAAAUACUGAUUCACUUUAUGAUCUCAUAAACUCAGGGUACUGAUGGAAUUAACGUAUUUUGCCUCAAGUGUACAGAGAUAAUCUACAUUUAUUUCGUUUUCUUAAGAGCAUUUAUUGACAUUCCUAGUAAUGUUUCUUUAGCACCAGCCCCAAAGCAUUCAUAAAGAGAUUUUUAUUUUAUUUUAUUUUAGCUGAGAAGGAAGCUAGUGAUUUCCAAUACUCCUUGUGAUAGGCCUCACAAAUGAAAUAUUUUGAAUGAGGUACCCUUUGUAUCUAAUUUAAAGAGCUGCAUACACCUAUCAGAUAUUUUCUAAUUAAUUUUAUUUUUCAGAAGACAAAUCUUUCUAUUAAAUGAAAUAAUUGCUCAGUGGCAUUACCUGAAAUACAGGCAUUUAGGCAAAACUUAUUCCUGCUCAAUAGAAAGUUAGGUAAAAUCAAUGGGCUUAUGUGGUCUAACCUUCUGUUGGAUUUUGGACAUUGUAAUUACUUCACUAGGUGUCUACAAUUUUCAAGUGUCAUCAGAUGUUGAGAAAUGGCCUUUCGACCAAGCAUUAGUCACAGGGUCAGGAGGGUUAUCAGUUACAUAGGUCCAUACUUCUCUAGAGGUCAAAAGCACCUCCACCCGAAAAGACCAUAAGCUAUAGUUCUCAUCUGUCAGCUGUGGGAAGACCAGAGCCUUCUCAGCUUCUGGAACCCGGUCAACCGUUCUGGAACUCUUCCAGACCCACAAAACUACACCAACAGGAGAAGGAGUUUUCAAACCUUUCUCAGAGUCCAAAAAUAUGCAGUCAUCCACUCAGCAGCUGGGCCCAUAACCAAAGAUGUUGGCUAUUUGCAGUAUGGUAGCACUGCAGAGAGCUUGCUGGGGAGACCAUGCAUUAAAAAGGGACUCAAGAAUAACUUAAACAAGGUUUUAAUAAGAAAAACAAAAACUCCAUUUACACUAAGUACAUCAACAAACCAGACCCAACCACCAACCCAUCCCCCAGGGUAAUGGGAGAGCUAGGUGCUGCUCCUUAUAUACUACACCCAAUUACCAACACAGCUUAAUCAAUACAACUCAGCAGCACCUGCUAUGUUUCACAGCUGUAAAGCUGGGUCUCGUUAUCUUGCUCUGGCCCUUGCUCUGGCCCCUUAAAGACAUACACAUCGAGUGGAACAAUGAUGAACCUUUACAUUUAAAGAAGCCAUUCAACAAGUAGAUGAAGUUUGCUUUACAUGCAUUAUUUGUGAGCCUCCUAAAAAUCCCUAGUGCUGCUUCGACUAUCCAUUGAACCCAAGUAGUGGUUUGGGUCAACAACAGGAGAGAUAAUGGAGCAUCAUGUGGUUUGACAGGUGUAGCCUACAGUCCUUUGCAACAAAUGAAUGCUGAUGAAUGGCAACUUAGCAGAUGGGACAAUACAGACAAUUAUCUUACAAAAUGGUGUUGGAAAGUUAUUACUCCCUAGUUCUAAUUUGAUUUCUAAUCUGACACAGGUGUGGCAAUUUUUCCCUAUUGCCACUCGUUUGGGUGUGGUAGAUGAGCAGUUUAUCUAACUUUUUUUACACACACAGUGGUAAGCUGCCAUUUGAUAAACAGAUGUCUAUAUUUGUACAGUGUCUCAGUGUCACAAGACAAGGCUAUUUGAUGUAGCAAAGUACAUUGAGCCAAUGUAUUAGUAUUUGUACAAUACAUUAGCAAGAAAGAUAUAAUAAAAUUAGCUUUUGCAUUUCUUACUUUUUUGUUACUUAUUUAAAAAGUAACAUAAGGAAACAUUCUGAAAACCAAGUAGCCAUACUUAUUCUUCAAUUUAAUAAGCCAUAUAGCUUUCUUACUUUCAUGAAUUUCUGUGCCUAUAGCAUAUCUUAAAUUUUAAUGAUGAUAAAUCUUUUAGUGUCUGUCUGUGACAUCCCUUUUCUCUCAACCAACACCCAUUGAUCUGGUGGCUUUUAUUGGCCAUUUCCUAUUAAAAGUCACAGCCUCCUGUUGCUAUGAUUAUUAUAUAUUGAACCAUCCUCACAGUGGAAGCACAUUCUUAAGAUCUGCCUGCUGUACAAAGAGAUUGGCAAUAAGGAACAUCUCACGCUCCAAGUGAAAGACAAACAUUCAAAUGGAUUUAGCAGAGGUCACUUUAAUAACUUAUUAACAAGGCUGAUUUUAUAAUAUUUGACUUUGCUUCAGACUGCAGCAGACACUUCACAGCUGGUGUCCACUAUCCAGCAGUUGCCCAGAACUUUUUAUAACCAGAAAAAAGAUGCAUUUUUAAAAGAAAAAUUAUAGAAAACUCCCAACAUUGCUGCAGGUCAGGAAGAACUUGAAGAGGUAGCUGCAUGCAUUGCUCCAUCAAACUGAGGAGACCUGCCCCACACCAGGACUUUGAAACACCUGGCUCUAAACAGUGAAAUUCUUCUCCUUUCUAAAUUCAUUUUUAUUAAAGAUUUCAUUGUGCUACAAAACAAAUAAACAAAUGGGGGAAGUGCAUCUUUUGUCUGCACUUUCAAUUCAUAGAGUCUUUUCACAGUUCGCUUACAUGUAGCGAGAGAUACAUUUACCUGACAAGACCCACUGAAAACAGUGCAACAUCUUUUUAAAGUAAACAUGCAUCGGAUUACGCUGCCAGUGUGGUGUAGUGGUUAAGAGCAGUGGACUCGUAAUCUGGUGAACCGGGUUCGCUUCCCCGCUCCUCCCCAUGCAGCUGCUGGGUGACCUUGGGCUAGUUACACUUCUCUGAAGUCUCUCAGCCCCACUCACCUCACAGUUUGUUAUAGGGGAGGAAGGGAAAAGAGAUUGUUAGCUGCUUUGAGACUCCUUAGGGUAGUGAUAAAGUGGGAUAUCAAAUCCAAACUCCUUCUCCUCCUCCUCCUCCUCCUCCUCCUCUUCUUCUUCUUUGGAAUAUGUCAACUCCACCUUGAGUUUGUAAGCAUUUUUAGAUGUGUUAUAAAAUUUACCUUAAGAUAACAGUAAAUAUAACUGGAGAUUUAUGAAGUUAUUAUUAACAAGGCAGGAGGAGAAAGAUACAUGACAGAUUGAAAGAAAGGCAACUAGAUAUGUAGAAAAUACCUGAACUAUAAUUCAGGAAAUGUACUGAAUGCAUUUUCUGACAGUGAGUUAUUAUGUGCCUUCAGGAGCUGAAAGCACUCAACACCUGUAAAAAUAAUGCUUUGUGUUAGAUUUCUAGAUGCAAUUGAGGAUGUCUAAAUAUAGAUGCUCAAAGAUGUGUUCAUGGUGCUAUAGCUCCUUAUGAAUACCGUACUUGCACUGGUGCCACCCUUAAACCUCUUUUGAAGCACCACUUACUGUAUGUUUAUGUUCUACUCCACAGUGAAAAGCAGUAUGCUCCUGAAUCGGGGCUGCCAUAAAGUCCAGGAAAUCGGGCUGUCAAAAUGGUGUCCAGUAAAACCCAGACAUGGCAAAUAGGGCACUUUUAUCAAGAAAAAUGCUGUAAAAAUGCUGUAAAAAUCAAAGAAAAGCCCAAAGACUUGGUAUUUUUGGGAGAUGUUCCCAAAACAGGUAGGGAAAGUGGUCUUGCACCCAGGUUCUGCUUGCAAGUUUCCAGCAGACAUCUGGUUGCCCAAUGUGUACAUACACUGUUCAGAAAGAUGGAAGUAUAUUGGCCUGGGUUGAAGUAACCUGGCAAGUUACAUGUCUUCUAAAAGUCAGAUAGUUGUUUAUUUGCUUGACAUCUGAUGGGAGGGUGUUCCACAGGAGGACGGGAGCCACUACCGAGAAGGCCCUUUGCCUGGUUCCCUGUAACCUCACUUCUUGCAGUGAGGGAACCGCCAGAAGGCCCUCGGAACUGGACCUCAGUGUCUGGGCUGAACGAUGAGGGUGGAGACACUCCUUCAGGGGGAGUUGAUAAAGUCAUUUUCAUGGAUUCCAUAUAUGAAAACCGAAGUGUUACAUUAGAUACCAUAAAUCUGCUUUGAGGACUUUUUAUAUAUAUAAAAUAAAAUCAGAACUUGAACCAAGAGGUCUAAUUUCAGUUUCAAUGUAAUUUAUCACAUAUAAAGCAAUUCUGAAACACCCUGAAAGGAAGUAGAAUGAAAAUAUUCAUGGACACAGAAGUUUUAAAUAUGGUUUAUCUGAAAAAUCAUUUCAGUUUAAUGAGAUUUCUCAAGCUCUAAUUGGCAAGUACAAUAACUCCCAGUGUAGCAUGUUGAAUAGAAACUUAACAUUCCAGCAGGCUCUGGGUAAGCCCAGCUGAAACCUGCAACAGCAUGAACAGGCAUCCGAGUAUACAAAGAAAAAGAAUCCCAACUGACCAUCGUAGGAGAAAAUGGCAUUUGCAAGUGUUUAUAAAAUCCACCAGGGGCUGAAAGGAGAAUCUUGAGUUUACAAGGACCCUAUUCUCUCUCUCUCUCUUCCUUCCCAAGUCAAUUGAAGGUAUUAGUAUAGCAGGCACAGAGGAUGCCAACAGUUUUGCAGCAACUUCCAAAAGAGCCUGGGGUCAGGCAGGGGAUAAUGAGGUGUUGUUUGUUACAGGAACUUCCCUGAAGGAUGCUUUCACAUUUUAAUCCUCAUUUUUCCAAGGCAGUUGCCAUGAGUUCUGGAGACGCUUUUAAGCCACUGCAUCAACUGUCAGACGACAUUAAAUGGUUUAGUUUAAUGUCCCUCUUCCUUGCUCAUUGAGAAGUAGGGGGGAGGACAUUGAUAAAGCAAGGAAGAAGAAGACACACACACCCAAAUGAACCGGGGAUCCAAACUCUGCAAGAAGGACUGGUCUGGAAAGGAGGUGAGCUGCCAUUCAGUAUUCUAGCAAGGUGGUGUGAGUGCCAUCUUUCUGGUUGUUUCUAUUUCCCCUCUAACCCAUUACCCUUGCAUAGUAUCUCCAACCCAUGACCUCUGCUUUACUUAGUAAGAAUGUCUGGGAUAACUGAAAAGUGCCAGCAGGAAGUGAAGCUGGGAGUGACAGGUUACACAUGGAUAUAGUAGCAAGUACAGGUAAAGGAGGGACGCGGGUGGCACUGCAGUCUAAUCCACAGAGCCUAGGACUUGCCGAUCAGAAGGUUGGCGGUUCGAAUCCCCGCAAUGGGGUGAGCUCCCUGCUCCUGCCAACCUAGCUCAGAUCCUGCUCCUGCCAACCUAGCAGUUCAAAAGCAUGUCAAAGUGCAAGUAGAUAAAUAGGUACUGCUCUGGCGGGAAGGUAAACGGCGUUUCCAUGUGCUGCUCGGGUUUCGCCAGAAGCGGCUUAGUCAUGCUGGCCACAUGACCUUGAAGCUGUACGCCGGCUCCCUCGGCCAAUAAAGCGAGAUGAGCACCACAACCCUAGACUGGACCUAAUGGUCAGGGGUCACUUUACCUUUACCUAAAGGUAAAGGAUGCGGGUGGCACUGUGGUCUAAACCACUGAGCCUCUUGGGCUUGCCAAUCAGAAGGUCGGCGGUUCAAAUCCCCACAGCAGGGUGAGCUCUCGCUGCUCUGUCCCAGCUUCUGCCAACCUAGCAGCUCAAAGGCAUACCAGUGUGAGUGGAUAAAUAGAUACUGCUGCAAUGGAGGGGUAAAUGGUGCUUCUGUGUGCUCUGUUUUCCGUCACAGUGUCCCAUUGCGCCAAAAGUGACUUAGUCAUGCCACAUGACCCGGAAAGCUGUCUGUGGACAAAAGCCGGUUCCCUCAGCCUGAAAGCGAGAUGAGCGCCAUGUCCCAUAGUCGCCUUUGACUGGACUUAACCGUCCAGAGGUCCUUUACCUUUUUUUACCUAGUAGCAACUGGAAUGAGCACAUAUGAACAUAAGUGAUUUCUGCAUAUUGAGCCCAUAUGGAGUACACUGGCCCAACUGAGGGCCCAGCUGCAUAUUAUUCACACAUUUGGUUGGACUCCGGUGGCCCCUUAACCCCACGUUUUUGGAGAUUAUUUGUAGGAAAGAAGCAGUGGCCAUGGGGAAUGGGUUCAACUCUUUCCUGCCACCUGCUUCGCUGCUCUGAAUCUUCACCUUCUAAGGUGUAUUUUAUUUUAUUUACUACUUUGAUAUUCUGCCUUUCCUCCAAGGAGCUCAAGGUGGGACAAAUGGUUCUCCCCUUCCCAAUUUCAUCAUCAAAACAACCCUGUGAAUAUCUUAGGCUGAGAAACCAGUUAACUAGUUUUUGUAUAAUCUAGAUGAUUACUAAAGCAUGAGUAAAGCAAUGACUUAAAUCAUUUUCAUGAACACUUGCUUUUCCAGCAUCGAAAACUGAUGGAUUUCUUUCCCUUGAAACAGCAGAUUCCACAAAAUCUUAAUACCAAACAUUCAACAACAAAAAAUUAACCAUGAUUAAAAAUGCAGAGAAAAAUAAUUACCUUUGGCUUAGGUCUUAGUAGAAGGUAGAAUGUGGUCAAACUAAUGAUUAGGGAGGAUUUAACAUUUUUGAACUGAAGUAAAGCACAGUCUGAGGGACGCUGGUCGCACUGUGGGUUAAACCACAGAGCCUAGGACUUGCCAAUCAGAAGGUCGCGGUUCGAAUCCCCGCAACAGGGUGAGCUCCCAUUGCUUGGUCCCUGCUCCUGCCAACCUAGCAGUUCAAAAGCAUGUCAAAGUGCAAGUAGAUAAAUAGGUACCGCUCCGGCAGGAAGGUAAACGGCGUUUCCAUCCGCUGCUCUGGUUCACCAGAAGCGGCUUAGUCAUGCUGGCCGCAUGACCUGGAAGCUGUAUGCUGGCUCCCUCGGCCAGUAAAGCGAGAUGAGCGCCGCAACCCCAGAGUCGGCCACGACUGGACCUAAUGGUCACGGGUCCCUUUACCUUUAACAUUUUUGAAUUGAAGUGAAGCACAGUCUGAAAGGAUCUCAGACACGAAGUAUAUCAGCUAUUUGCUCUUGAUCUGACACCUAUCAUAUCAAUUAAAAGAUUAUUUCAUUAAAAUGGCCAAGAGGCUUUGCUGAAACCACAAAUAAAGGUGUUUUUUUAAGAUCUCCUCCCUCCAAAAUUGGCGUAUUUCUUUCUGCUUUCUUAGCGGAUAACUUGUCUUUCAAGUCCUGUUCAUGCUUUGUCAAUACUGAAGGAGAGGCAGUGAAAUCUUGGAAACAUUUAUCUACCUACUUUCUGGGCUGAGUUCCGUGUGCUGCUAAAGUCAUGGAGCAAUUUGGAUUCUGAAUGGAAAUGAGUAAGCAAAGCAAAGAAAUAAAAGGGUAGUGGGGGAGAGUGAUGAAAGGAACAUCGUGCCGCUCAAGGAUCAGAAGAAAACAAUUAUGUCUUAAUGCUUGGGCCCUAAAUAAUUAAACUAAUGCUCCAGGCAAUAACGCAUUAGUCUAUAGCAAGAGGGAUAGCUUUCUCCAUAGCUUAGAGACCAUUAAUAGCCAGAAGAAUUCAAGGGGGGAAAGGAAGUUGAAGAGUAUUGCAUACUGUUGUUGUAUAACUUGUGAAAAUCAAGAAAUAGGAUAGGACCCCUUGGAGAAGAUGGGGAAAAACAUUUUCCCCGCCCCCUACUUUAUCGCAUAACUGUCAAACAUGAAUUCAAUUUGUGAAAACUGCUCUAUGUUACCCUAUCAGUUGUUCAGCUUCUCAUAGCUUUGUCUAAAUCCUUACAGCUGCUAGGCUGUUUGAACUUGGAUUUGGAAUCCUGUAUUUGAAUCCUUUAAAAAGGCAAAGGUAAAGGACCCCGGACCGUUAAGUCCUGUUGCGAACGACUCUGGGGUUGCAUCGCUCAUCUCGCUUUACUGGCCGAGGGAGCCAGCAUUUGUCCGCAGACAGUUUUUCCAGAUCAUGCGGCCAGCAUGACUAAGCUGUUUCUGGUGAAACCAGAGCAGCGCACGGAAAAUCCGUUUACCUUCCCACCGGAGUGGUACCUAUUUAUCUACUUACCCUUUGACAUGUUUUUGAACCACUAGGUUGGCAGGAGCUGGGUCUGAGCAAUGGGAUUUCACCCCGUCGCAUAGAUUCAAACUGCCGACCUUCCGAUCGGCAAGCCCUAUGCUCAGUGGUUUAGACCACAGCGCCACCCUUUACUCAGCCACAAAUUGAAUCCUUUACUCAGCCACAAAUUGGGCAUUCAAAAGAAGUAAUGAGAGUUGUGUAAAGGGGUGUGGGGCUAGGUAUGUUAGCCCAGCCUCCAAAAGUAUAUAUGCAUGCCACAGCCCCAUCUGCUCCACCUCAACCUUACGGAAAUGAGGAGGAAAAUAUCAUGGUAGCUAUUGGAAAUCCUGAUUACACAGGAUUCCUGAAUGUAGUUUGGAUUCUUCAUGUUUUACACUUAGAAUCUCCCACCCACCUACACUAACCUACAUGGUUAUAGGCAUUAUAAUCAGUGGGUUUUUUUAGUGGGGGGGGGGGAAUGGUGUUGGUACUCACCAUGAAUUUGUUACAGUACGUACCACACUCAACAUUUGUAAAAUUAUUAAUAAUAAUAGUAAUAAUAAUAAUAAUAAUAAUAAUAAUAAUAAUGGUGCCAGUGCUGCAUACCUUUGAGUGCCUCCAGAAAAAAGCACUGAAUAAUUAAAUGAUAAUAAAACUUUAGAAUGCCCUGGUCCUGCCCUUUAGCAGGGGUAGAUUCGCCACACUCCUCUUUCUUGGGCAAAGGCCAGAGCUGGUUUCUUCCAUGGGAAGGGGAACUUGGGGAUCAUAUGGGCAGGAAUGUUCAAUAGGAUGAAACAGUCAGGCUGCUAUUUAAGUCUUCUCCACCCUCUCCACCUCAUUCUCUUUUGCAGCACCCUCCCUCCUCCCUCUCUCUACAGCGUUGGCUUUUUGCUAUUUGCCUUUUCUGGGGGCUAAGUAGGAAUUUGAGGGGCAGCAAUGAAUUGACCCUUGGAACUAUUCUUUUUUUGCCUGCUCCACACCAUAGGGUUAUUUGAUUUGCUCUUGAUGUAUGUUCUUAUUUGGUGUGUUUAGCAUUGAGUGUGGGCACAAAAGGAAAAUUAAGAACUUAAUUGACAGGCACCCUGAGGCAUUAUGGGGUUUAAGAGUAUGCUUGAGUCACCUUGGGGAUGUGUGCACCUUGGUGAACUCUGAUGUGUGCGUCUUGUUGGGUUCACAAACCCAAGGCUCAUUUAGUAGGGAGUGAGAAUUUUCUUCCAAUACCUGCCAGGAGAGUGGAGGGAUGCAUCUGUCAUAUGUGUCAAUUCAAACCCAUCUGCCAUUACAUACAUAAUUUGGUUAUUGUUUGACAAAUCUAUUGUUAUAUUUCAAUAAAUGUUAUCUUUCCACGGUUACCCUGCCUCUUGAGUCUUUUCCCAUGUUGUCUUGCCAAAGUGCAAGUUGGGAUCCUGCCUUUUGGCCAAACUAAAGGAUAUGGAAGGACACGUUGAAGCUGAAAACUCUAUUUUGUAAGUGUUGAACCAAAUUUAAUGAAACAAUUAGAAAAGGGGACAGGAAUUAAAAAGUUACUUGGCUGUUACUAAUUACUAAUCCUACAUAUAUAUAUAUAUAUAUAUAUAUAUAUAUAUAUAUACCAAGGUUUUCAUUGUGGGUUUUGUUUUUUUUUCAUUUUUAUUCCAGUCCUUUGAAACGCUUUCAGCAUCUCUAAAGAAGCAUGUUAUGAACAUCCAAAAAAAGUGAUGAUGUAAUUUUUUAAUCAAAUCACAGGAUCCAUAAGCAGAUAGAAUAUGCCUUGAAGCAUUAAAAAAAAAAUUAAAAAUAACCUGCUUGCCAGAAGCUAAAGUAAAGCACAUCCAUUUUCCAUUGUACAGUCUGAAUGGAUAAUUAGUUUUAUAACUUGAGUCUCUUGUGAGUAGCUGUCCAGUGUGUGUUGGAAGCAUUUAAAGAUUCUUGCAAUAACACAUCUUUAACAAAUAUACAAUCACUUUGCCUCCUGCAAUUAAUUUGUGAAGCAGCUUUGGAGAGGAACUUGUCUUAUGAAUUACAGGAAACUUUUGAAUCCCAUUUUUCUUCCCAGUGGCAAGACAAUAAAUCUAUUCUAUAACCCUGUUAAUUUAGGAAGAAAUACAUUUCUUUAAACAAAGCAUGCUGGCUCCUCUCAGUAUGACAGUAGUCUAACUUGGAGGUUACCAGAUCAUUCAUAAUUGGGGCAAGACUAUAUUUGUCCUAGUAAAGACACAGCUGGCAAAAGAUGGUAAAAGGCACACAGUGUUACAGAAGCAAGUUGUGCUUCUGAUCACAAAGACUGAUCAAGGAGACCUCCUAAAGCAACGUUGUCUAGCAUUGGCUGAAAACCACUCCCUUGUGCUAUUGAACUACCUGCCCAGCAAACCAUCUUGUCGGGAUUGAUUAUUUGUGCCUAUUAGCUCUCAUCUACUCCAUUACCUUAGCCAGACACCCAUUUGACACUUCCAUUGCAUCACCUGGAUUUGAUGAAAAGCUAGGCUUGCCAUACAUCAGGAAAACUCCUGACAUGUCCUGGUUUGGGGGUGUAAAAAUGGUGUCGGGGGGAAUUUUGUCGAAUUGGAAAAAUGUCAGGGAAAACCCAGAUGUUUGUCAAUGCGAUGGAAAAAGCAGUGGAAACAGCUCCAAAAGCUCCAAAUCAUUAUCUUUGGGUUAGGUUUCCCAGAAAAAAGCUCAACAAUGUGGGUUUGUUCCCUAAAAAGCUCAACAACUUUCUGACAAGCGGGUGUCAGGAAUUUAACUUUUUGAAAUAUGGCAACCCUAUGAAAAGAAGAGCUAGAACUAGUGGUGUCCUUCACACAUUGAUGAGACCUCGUCCUUAUUCUCCAGAUGCCCUCACUCAGCUGUUUCAUGUCAAUGUGAAGUACGGUAAAAUGGGUGGAAGGAACAACCCCAUCACGUAACUGGAUAGCUCUUAUUCUCACCCACCUUCACAAGGAUAUAUUUGCAGUUGCUCCUGAAGAAAAGUUUCUACUCUGAACGUGUUCUGCAGAAAUAAAGACCAGUUUAUUUCAACAAAUUAUUUCUAGCAUCUGUUGAACUUCUCUUUAAUCUUCCUUUCUAAACUGGUUGGUAUAUCUGCCCACCUAGCUCUGUCCUCUUUCCUUUACUUUUUAUUUGGUUUUGCUGUAUUGUUUCAUUGUUAUUUUUAAACCAGAGACUAACUUUACUUAAGAAUAAUAAUGAGACAGGUCUCCUGGUUUGGAGCCAUCAGUUUCACUCCCUCGAUGGGGCAGAGAAGCAAAUCCAGUCCACAGUGUCAUGUCUGCAAAGCCAAAUAAUACUCGACUCUUGUGGUGUUUCCAUAGUAACUAGUGCCUUAGAAUUCACACCAGUAAGGCAAUAAAACCAAGCUAGGGUGCCUCAUGUAGAAAACAUAUGGAUUUUGUUUUUAUUGUUAACAUUAAAAACUCUCUAAAAUAUUUAAAGCCGUAUGAAGUUUUACAUCUGUAUCUUUAGAAAAGUGUGUCAGCAAAGCCACUGUAUUAUCUCCAUGGAGCAAAUGUGGGCAAAAGAAAAAGAAAAUGGAAAUAUUGACUAACAUUUACGGGAAACAACUGUCUAAUGGAGGCAUAAUAGAAAGUGGGGGAGGGUUCCCAGAACUGGAGUGAAAUACUUACCAUCCUUCCCCAGAGUAGGCAGAGCAUAGGAGCCAAGUCCUAGGGUUCAAGGGGUCUUCAGCCUUCCCAGUAAAAUAUUUGAGGGGGCUAGGUCCUCCCAAAGUUGAUGGGCAUUGCCAUUCAAAUGGUGUGUGCACACCAUGUCAUGUGAUUGAUUUGUGCAAGGCAGGGCUAACCUGGGCCCCCCAAUAUUCUAUUCAAGUUGGCACCCCAGACACAGAGGGAGGGGAUCAAAUUCUGGGAGCUCCUUACAGUUGUAGAGAAUCGUGACUUUCCCUUAACGGAAAGCUCUUUGCUUCCACAAGUUGGUGAACCCAUUAUUUCCCCCUACUGGAGCCCUGCAUGUCAUAUUGAUCGAUUCCAUGCUCUCAUCCUUCUAGAUACUGAAUUCUGCACAAGCUGGCGUUUCUGAAUACUUCCAGGAAGGCUUUUUUUAAAUCAGUGGUCCAUUGGUAUGUGGGGGGAUUAUAAAGAAGCAUGUUCAUGAUUAUUACUAUUUUUAUUCGUGAUGAAUACAUUUGUUCAUGAUGAUUACUGUUAUUUUAUUGCCCAUUCUUCUUCAUGCAAAAAGAUUGCUCGCCG
rnacentral:lncRNA from 1 species